rnacentral:rRNA from 1 species
GACGAACGCUGGCGGCGUGCUUAACACAUGCAAGUCGAGCGGAGCGGCGAACGGGUGAGUAACGCGUGAGUAACUGCCCCCCUCUCUGGGAUAACAGUUGGAAACGGCUGCUAAUACCGGAUAGUGGGGGAUGACUCGCGUCCUAUCAGCUUGUUGGGGGGGUAGUGGCCUACCAAGGCGACGACGGGUGGCCGGCCUGGGAGGGAGACCGGCCACAGAGGGCUGAGAUGCUGGCCAAGCUCAUACGUGAGGCAGCAGUGGGGAAUAUAGCACAAUGUGGGAAACCCUGAUGCAGCAACGCCGCGUGCGGGAUGUCGGCCUUCGGGUUGUAAACCGCUUUCAGCCAUGACGCGGUAGUGGCAGAAGAAGCACCGGCUAACUACGUGCCAGCAGCCGCGGUAAUAC